UGCGAUAAGCGCCGGUAAGGUGAUAUGAACCGUUAUAACCGGCGAUUUCCGAAUGGGGAAACCCAGUGUGAUUCGUCACACUAUCAUUAACUGAAUCCAUAGGUUAAUGAGGCGAACCGGGGGAACUGAAACAUCUAAGUACCCCGAGGAAAAGAAAUCAACCGAGAUUCCCCCAGUAGCGGCGAGCGAACGGGGAGGAGCCCAGAGCCUGAAUCAGCAUGUGUGUUAGUGGAAGCGUCUGGAAAGGCGCGCGAUACAGGGUGACAGCCCCGUACACAAAAGCGCAUGUGCUGUGAGCUCGAUGAGUAGGGCGGGACACGUGGUAUCCUGUCUGAAUAUGGGGGGACCAUCCUCCAAGGCUAAAUACUCCUGACUGACCGAUAGUGAACCAGUACCGUGAGGGAAAGGCGAAAAGAACCCCGGCGAGGGGAGUGAAAAAGAACCUGAAACCGUGUACGUACAAGCAGUGGGAGCACCCUUUGGGGUGUGACUGCGUACCUUUUGUAUAAUGGGUCAGCGACUUAUAUUCUGUAGCAAGGUUAACCG
rnacentral:rRNA from 1 species